rnacentral:rRNA from 1 species
GACGAACGCUGGCGGCGUGCCUAAUACAUGCAAGUUGAGCGCUGAAGGUUGGUACUUGUACCAACUGGAUGAGCAGCGAACGGGUGAGUAACGCGUGGGGAAUCUGCCUUUGAGCGGGGGACAACAUUUGGAAACGAAUGCUAAUACCGCAUAAAAACUUUAAACACAAGUUUUAAGUUUGAAAGAUGCAAUUGCAUCACUCAAAGAUGAUCCCGCGUUGUAUUAGCUAGUUGGUGAGGUAAAGGCUCACCAAGGCGAUGAUACAUAGCCGACCUGAGAGGGUGAUCGGCCACAUUGAGACUGAGACACGGCCCAAACUCCUACGGGAGGCAGCAGUAGGGAAUCUUCGGCAAUGGACGAAAGUCUGACCGAGCAACGCCGCGUGAGUGAAGAAGGUUUUCGGAUCGUAAAACUCUGUUGGUAGAGAAGAACGUUGGUGGGAGUGGAAAGCUCAUCAAGUGACGGUAACUACCCAGAAAGGGACGGCUAACUACGUG